UUUAAAGCUACAAUCCUUAAAGCUAAAUCAAAAAAUUCUACAGACUAAAUUCUAAAGUAAAUUUUCUAUAGUUACAGUCCAACCAAUCACCCCCUAAAUACUACAAACCCUCUAAAAUUUAAUUGAAACUGUUUCAUUUCUCUCAAAAUAGCCUUUAAUUAAAUGAGAAUUAGUCAGACAUGACGAAGCGAACAUUAUAAUUAGUGGUUGUGUUAAUACGAAACUAUUCCACUCUCUUACUCACGCUAGCUACAGCGCGUGGCUUACACUCUCCAUUAUUGAUAUUCUUAAGUCCAUUAGCACUUGGCAGUGUUUGGAAGUUGAUAACAUUAUUGUGUGCAGUGGCGAAACCAGGACUUAGGCUGUGGGGGCACGUGCACCCACUAUUAUAUAACAAUUCAAAAUUUUACAAUGUAGAAAAGCAAAGUUUCGUUAGCUCUUAUGGUAAUAAGAAGCUUGUGCACCCUUGAUUUCCCAGGUUUGAUUCUUGUCUAAUGCAUUUUUAUUUUUUUACUAUUAACAGUGCACCCGUUACUUCAAUGGUCUGGAUUCCCCUCUGAUUGUGUGUGCUUGUGUUGGAGUUAAUAAUUUGUAGUUUAUAUCACUAAACAGUCUAAUCUCAACAAUUACUGUGUAUACUGUAUAGCGCAAAGAGCGCGUGAAGAUGGAAACUUUUGGAUAUCACGAUCAUCCUUGCAGCUGGUGAGGCAGGUGUUCUACCUCCAGACAUGUACUAAGUCUUCUUCAACCUGUUGAGCUUAUAGUGGAUGCUAUUCUUAAAAGCUCAUAUUCUCAAAAAUAUCAUGAAUUCAGUUCCCAUUUUUAAAAUUACAAAUGGCAUGUGGCUAUAUAUUAUUAUUUUAUCAUUAUAUUUGCUUUCCACGGGCUUCUCCUACCACCACCAACACAACUUGCCGUCAAUUUGUAUGAUUCACAUUAUCCCUUGAUAUUGUUUCACCAACUUAUGUUUUUUUUAUAGUGGUUGCUAUAAAUUAAUGAAAAAUGCCAGUCACAAAAGCUAUGAGAAGAUUCCGUAUCUUUGCUCUUUAAUCUAAUCGCCUCCCCUAGAUUACAUCCUCUCGACGUCACUUUACCCCAAUGGUCCAUUAGUUACUUUAUUUUGCUAAACUACAUCCAUCAACUUUGUCUUAUAUAUCCAUGCAUACAUCACAAACCACUUCACUUAUUUUCUUUGUCAACCACAAACAGUACACAUAUAAUCCAGCCAAAUCUGCAAUAAUUCAUAACCUCUACCAAGAUUCUUAUAACAAUAAGUGACUGUUUUGAAUUUCUCCUUAAUGAGAAUUGUUAACAAGUUCAAAGCAUGUGUACUAAAAAGUAACUUAGAUUCUGAUAUUGUAAAUAUGUUGUACUGAUAACAUAUUACACACAAGAAAACUAUGGUUGAACUGAUACCUCAAAGAACAUCAUUGUAAGAAGAAAGAUCAAAUUGCUGACCUAGAGAGAUGUGAAAGAUUGAUUCUCCUCAAUUAUGGGUGGCUCAUACUCUCCAUUAUGCUUUAUUUAGAUACCUAAAUUCGAAUUGUUGUCUCACAAAGGAUUAUUAUUGAAAUAAAGUUUUGAUGACGAUAUAGAAGACUAGCGAUUUCUUGAAAAGGAAUAAGCUUUUAAUAAAAAGGAAACUAGCAAGAGAUAGAAUUUGAUGUGAAUGGAGAGAUCUUCAAAAGUCUCAAUAAUGUAUUCCACAUUUUGUGUUCCUUGUUAACUCCCUCAUCCUCUCUCUCUAUUUUACUUAUAUUUUCGUUUACAACACCAACAAGAAAAAUAAAGUUAUGCCAAAGUGCUUUUCCUACAAAGAACAUUACUUAGUGGAACAUGUGAUGGCCUCAACCUCUCCCACCUUAAAUGUUGAACAACAAAAGAUAUCUUCAAAACACUAUUUUUGAAACAACCCUUAUGCUUACCACUGGUCCACUCAAAAAGAUUGUGCGACUCACAUGAUGCACUCAGACUUUAAAGUCAACAACUACUAUUUUUACUUGGACAAGAAAACCAAAGAGGAUAGCGAUCUUGAGUUUUGUGUCUCAGAUUAAAAUCCCUUCAACCAAUGUUCUUAUUCCUGGAGAUUCCUGCGGCAGAACAUCAUAUUAAUUGGUGGAAAUGUCCAUAAAACAAUCUAAUCCCUUUGUUUUCAAUCACAAAUCUUUGAUGUGUGACAUAGAAUGACUAACAAAGCUAUUCACGUUCUUCUUAUUAUGUUGCGAAAUCA